rnacentral:rRNA from 1 species
UGAACGCUAGCGGCAGGCUUAAUACAUGCAAGUCGUGGGGCAGCAUGAGUAGCAAUACUUGAUGGCGACCGGCAAACGGGUGAGGAACACGUACACAACCUUCCUUCAAGCGGGGAAUAGCCCAGAGAAAUUUGGAUUAAUACCCCAUAAUAUAUUUGAUAAGGCAUCUUAUUAAUAUUAAAGCUUCGGCACUUGAUGAUGGGUGUGCGGCUGAUUAGAUAGUUGGUGGGGUAACGGCCCACCAAGUCUACGAUCAGUAGCUGAUGUGAGAGCAUGAUCAGCCACACGGGCACUGAGACACAGGCCCGACUCCUACGGGAGGCAGCAGUAAGGAAUAUUGGACAAUGGACGAAAGUCUGAUCCAGCCAUGCCGCGUGAAGGAUUAAGGUCCUCUGGAUUGUAAACUUCUUUUAUAUGGGACGAAAAAAGGGCAUUCUUGUUCACUUGACGGUACCAUAUGAAUAAGCACCGGCUAACUCCGUG